UCCCAUUUUAUAUAUCAUUUAUUCACUUUUCCCAUAUAUGGCCAUCAAAUCUGUGAAACAUUGGACUCUUUUCUUUUACGAUCGAAAACCGCAAAUGACAUAUCGCCACUAGGCCUUGUGGGACAGGUAGUCACAGCCGCAAGAACAGCCGCAAUGAAGAGAGACAGACCCUUCAAUCAAUUAAUAUGAUAAACUCCUGUAAAAAAACACAGUCGAUUGGGUAAUAUGUACGGAUGGGAGGGGUCUUAAGCCUUUAAAUUCUGAAACUGGCAAACCAUGCAUUCACCAACUGAAAAAUCCCCACCAUCAAAACGCGUCUUGGAGAGUGGACAAAGAUAAGGAAUAGACUUUUAAUUUGUUUUUAAUUGUGUUUACACUACUUUUAUUUUGUUUUAUAUUAGAAAAUAAAUCCUUUUAAAGUCACCUUAUUGUACAUCGUUUGAAGUAUCCUGGUUUUCCUGGUUCCAAAGAAGGGAGUGUCACCCUCAAAUAUGACACCAAGUUCAAGUUUUGAGCCCAUUUUAUAAUAGGCUCUUAACCAGGUGAGCAAGUU